rnacentral:rRNA from 1 species
UACGGAGGGAGCUAGCGUUGUUCGGAAUUACUGGGCGUAAAGGGCUCGUAGGCGGCCAACUAAGUCAGACGUGAAAUCCCCAGGCUCAACCUGGGAACUGCGUCUGAUACUGGAUGGCUUGAAUCCGGGAGAGGGAUGCAGAAUUCCAGGUGUAGCGGUGAAAUGCGUAGAUAUCUGGAGGAAUACCGGUGGCGAAGGCGGGUCUCUGGGCCGAUACUGACGCUGAGGAGCGAAAGCGUGGGGAGCGAACAGG